ACUUGAAUAGCUUAUAUUUUAGAGCGCGACAUUGAAGAUGUCGAUGAGGUAUAUUAUUUACCUUUAGGUG
rnacentral:tRNA from 1 species